GAUGAACGCUAGCGGGAGGCCUAACACAUGCAAGCCGAGCGGUAGAGUCUCUUCGGAGACUUGAGAGCGGCGCACGGGUGCGGAACACGUGUGCAACCUGCCUUUAUCUGGGGGAUAGCCUUUCGAAAGGAAGAUUAAUACCCCAUAAUAUACUGGAUGGCAUCACCUGGUAUUGAAAACUCCGGUGGAUAGAGAUGGGCACGCGCAAGAUUAGAUAGUUGGUGAGGUAACGGCUCACCAAGUCUACGAUCUUUAGGGGGCCUGAGAGGGUGAUCCCCCACACUGGUACUGAGACACGGACCAGACUCCUACGGGAGGCAGCAGUGAGGAAUAUUGGACAAUGGGUGAGAGCCUGAUCCAGCCAUCCCACGUGAAGGACGACGGCCCUAUGGGUUGUAAACUUCUUUUGUAUAGGGAUAAACCUAGAUACGUGUAUCUAGCUGAAGGUACUAUACGAAUAAGCACCGGCUAACUCCGUGCCAGCAGCCGCGGUAAUACGGAGGGUGCAAGCGUUAUCCGGAUUUAUUGGGUUUAAAGGGUCCGUAGGCUGAUUUGUAAGUCAGUGGUGAAAUCUCACAGCUUAACUGUGAAACUGCCAUUGAUACUGCAAGUCUUGAGUGUUGUUGAAGUAGCUGGAAUAAGUAGUGUAGCGGUGAAAUGCAUAGAUAUUACUUAGAACACCAAUUGCGAAGGCAGGUUACUAAGCAACAACUGACGCUGAUGGACGAAAGCGUGGGGAGCGAACAGGAUUAGAUACCCUGGUAGUCCACGCCGUAAACGAUGCUAACUCGUUUUUGGGUUUUCGGAUUCAGAGACUAAGCGAAAGUGAUAAGUUAGCCACCUGGGGAGUACGAACGCAAGUUUGAAACUCAAAGGAAUUGACGGGGGCCCGCACAAGCGGUGGAUUAUGUGGUUUAAUUCGAUGAUACGCGAGGAACCCUACCAAGGCUUAAAUGGGAAAUGACAGGUUUAGAAAUAGACUUUUCUUCGGACAUUUUUCAAGGUGCUGCAUGGUUGUCGUCAGCUCGUGCCGUGAGGUGUUAGGUUAAGUCCUGCAACGAGCGCAACCCCUGUCACUAGUUGCCAUCAUUAAGUUGGGGACUCUAGCGAGACUGCCUACGCAAGUAGAGAGGAAGGUGGGGAUGACGUCAAAUCAUCACGGCCCUUACGCCUUGGGCCACACACGUAAUACAAUGGCCGGUACAGAGGGCAGCUACACAGUGAUGUGAUGCAAAUCUCGAAAGCCGGUCUCAGUUCGGAUUGGAGUCUGCAACUCGACUCUAUGAAGCUGGAAUCGCUAGUAAUCGCGCAUCAGCCAUGGCGCGGUGAAUACGUUCCCGGGCCU
rnacentral:rRNA from 1 species